CCCGCACAAGCGGUGGAUUAUGUGGAUUAAUUCGAUGCAACGCGAAAAACCUUACCUGGCCUUGACAUGCCACUAACGAAGCAGAGAUGCAUUAGGUGCUCGAAAGAGAAAGUGGACACAGGUGCUGCAUGGCUGUCGUCAGCUCGUGUCGUGAGAUGUUGGGUUAAGUCCCGCAACGAGCGCAACCCUUGCCAAUAAUUGCCAUCAUUUAGUUGGGCACUUUAUUGGGACUGCCGGUGACAAACCGGAGGAAGGUGGGGAUGACGUCAAGUCCUCAUGGCCCUUAUGGCCAGGGCUUCACACGUAAUACAAUGGUCGGUACAGAGAGUUGCCAACCCGCGAGGGGGAGCCAAUCUCAGAAAGCCGAUCGUAGUCCGGAUUGCAGGCUGCAACUCGCCUGCAUGAAGUCGGAAUCGCUAGUAAUCGCGGAUCAGCAUGUCGCGGUGAAUACGUUCCCGGGCCUUGUACACACCGCCCGUCACACCAUGGGAGUGGGUUUUACCAGAAGUAGGUAGUCUAACCGCAAGGGGGACGCUUACCACGGUAGUAUUCAUGACUGGGGUGAAGUCGUAACAAGGUAACCGUA
rnacentral:rRNA from 1 species